UAGCUGCACAAUUGGCGGCUUCUCAAGAAGGGCUCAGCUCCAUGAGUGAGUGAGUGAGUGAGUGUUGCUCUUUACACUUUGGAGCAACAAGGUUCCUGGUUCUGCACUUCAUCGUCUCUCUUAUGUUUCUGUUGCUACCCUUACUGACUGCUUGUGGUCUGAGUUUAUUUCUCACUCACUCUCGUGUUUUCUUGCAGUUCUCUCCGUUUUCCCUUUAUAUUUCAUCAUAGGUGUUCCUGUAGGACUUGAGGUUCUCACAGGGUGGCCAUGCAGCUUUCUGUCUUCUGGGAUAUGAUGCCAAUGAAAGUCAACUGAUGUUUGAGAGGAGCACAUCGCCUUUUUCUUCAGGUUUCAGAAGAAUGAACAAAGCAAGAGACAGGCAAGAAGCAGAGCUCUGUAUGUAUUGUGCAUCAGGUACAAGUUCUAAUGUCAUUGCGUUCUCUUCAGACAGUUCUGAAGACAUGUUUUUUUAUGUUUGCAGUGAUAUAUGGUGUAAUGUUGGAGAAUAUGUUAGUAACCAAAGGUGAAUGUUGAUAUUUACAUAAGAGCGUGUUUUAAAUCAUGUUUGUAGUAAUACUAGCAGCUUUAUGUAUUUGUAUUUUGAUUUGUGGUGUAUAUAAACCAUGAGCGUUCAUGGAAGUGUGUUGCAUAUGCCAUUUUUACUAACAGAAAAAUGGGAACACUGCUACAUCCGUGACAUCUCUUGCCAUUUUGGUGUACUUUUACUUUGUUUUUACCGUUGUGAGGAAUGUAGGUGUUAGUGAAGCUGGACCUGGAACCAAUAACACAGUUAAAGAAGAACCGGCUAUUGAUAUGCUGGAUAGUCUACACGCUUCCACAUAAGUCAAACAACUCAGAACAUUUUUCAAGAAUUGUUAUUGCGAUAAAGCCAUAUCUCAUUUUAAGAGUGAAGGUUACUUCCGUCUGUUCACAAUGGACCAAUAACUGGUCUAAGUGCAUGGGGUAACCCACCCCCUCUCAUAAUACGAAUAAUACGAAUACUUCCGUCUGUUGCGACAGCAUUGCUUUUAGAAUAUAAAGAACCAAUUGAAAAUCAGCUGUACAAGAAAAGCUGUCAGAAAACAGACUGAAAGUUUUGAAUGGGAGUGAGAAAUAUGGAUACACCUACAUGAUGCAAUUCUUGUAUUCAUUUUGCAUGCCAACAAUAUACAUGACUGCAAUGAAAUCUUUGUAGCCAGUUGUGUCAGUGUUGAGUUAAAAACCAAUGUUUUGGGACCUCAGCCCCCAUCACAGUGGCUCUAAAGAAUAGUGUCUGCUGUAAUGUGGUGUAGUCUGGUAAAAGUUCACAUUCACUUCAGAAGAAUGUGGUGCCUUGAUCUUCAGGGUAGAAAAACAAGUGCACCAAUGGCUUACUCGGCUUCUUUUUUGUCCCUGAAGACAAAUUUCCUCUGAAAUGUUGGUGAAUUUCUACAAGAUUAUGCUGCCCAACAUUGCAGAAGUUAAUACUCUUCAAAUUUAAUUUUAGUAUCAUUCCAAAUGUACAUGAAGCUGUAAUAAAUUUUUGUAUUAGUUUUCUGGUAAUAAAAAAUACUGAUGCAUAACAUAUGA